CAUAAUGUAGAAUGUGUAAUUCUGUAGCAUCAGAGCAUGUUAAUAUAAGGCAAUUGGCAGUUGGAACAGAGGGGGAGGAAGAGAAGAAUGUCCCAGCCCGCAGGCCAGAUGAAUCAUGUGCUGGCCACGUCCACUUCUGAUUUAGUGAAGGGGUAGCAUCAGAGUGUGUUAAUAUAAGGCAACUGGCAGUUGGAACUGAGCUCUUUUCAGGUGGAGAGGAGGAGUAGAACGUCUAACUCCUUAACAUUAGAGUGUGUGAUUAUAAUACUGUAUAUGAAAUACUAAUGAUCUGAUGGUCAUUUCAAAAAAUCCUUUUUUAGCAAGCACCUAGAAGCCAAGAGGAACAUAAGUGCCAAAUUUCAGAUCAUUGGAGACUUCACCACUUUUCUCAGAUGAAGCACAACCAAGGGAAAAUAUCUUAUAUUGUAUUUUCUAUUUAGCCAUCAACCAUGAAAAUUAUAGUCAUAGCAACUUUGAUUCAACUGUGCAUACUAAAACAUUCUCCUUCAUCUAAAUCAUUAAAGAAAAAAGAAAGGAGAAAAAACUAAAGCAUCAUUCAUUGUUUGUGCGGUGAAAGAAAAGAAAGGAAAAAAACAACUUCAAGUGAACACUGUUAUUUUAGUUGACCUUCAGUUUCCAAGAAUACUUCCCAAUUUAAAGAACUUCCUGAGAACAGCUGCUGUGGAUAUGCUUCUCUGCUCCCCCAGGUUUAAUGACUUUUUAAUAGGUAGAAUUGUUUGAAGCAUCCCAUAGCUGAAAAAUAUUUCUCACUUCUUAAAUAAAGGUGUCUUCCUGAAGUAUAAAGAA